rnacentral:lncRNA from 1 species
UCUCCUCCAUUAUAAUUAAAGGACUUAAAUAAUACAGACUAAGAAAUAACUAACAUCAAAGUAUUCAAGAAAAAUUGGGGCCCUAAGAUCAAGCCCAAACUCAACACAAAGAUGAUCUCCAUUAUUGAAGAAGCCUUUAGUUCGAGUUUUCCACUUAACUUGAAAUGCCCUAUGUCUACAUUUCAAUUUUAAAACCAUUAAAUCUAAAAAUGAUCCAGGACUUCCAACCCAUUGAGCUUGAAACCAACCCAGUCAAAAAUGAAAGGAAAUUAGUGAGAAUCUGGCUCGGGGAAAAGGAAAAUGCUUCAGUUCCAUUCAUGAAAGCUAUCCAUAUUUUGGGCCCCAAGAUGAGCCCAAUUCGGAUGCAAAGCUGAACCUGGGUCUGAGGAUCGAGUCCCUACAUGCCAAAACUUAGCAAAAUUAAUCGAUUCAAGGAGGUUAUAAUAUUUGAGCUCGUUUAUUAUGUAACUAGGCCAACGUUAGGCCUAGUCCGUGUGGUACAAAUAGUCCAGCCAAUAGCAAACAAAAUCAGUAUUGAUACAUGAACAUGAGAUCAAAGACUUGGGUUUCUAAUUUAUGACCUUUGACAUAGAUUAAUAUUAUUUCAACUCAUAAGCUAACUCUUUUAAACAUCAAUUUCAAUAUGCAAGUAAUGGACAAAUAACAAUGAUAUACAUGUUUAAAACUAAGAAAAUGCAUGAACGAUUAGAUGUUUAUUUUUGCAGAUCUCAAAACUCUAAUCAAAUGACCUCAAAACUAAGCUAUGAGAAAUAAGCACUGAAUCAUGGAACCACUUCAAACAUCUAUCAAACCACAUAAUUAGAGCUAAUAUAAUCACACACAGUAAUUCUGCAAUCACUUUCAGGUUCACACAAUAUUCUAAACAUAAAAUUCAAACUAACAUUUGAAAUAUGAUAGCAGACCUUGAAGAUACUUGAAGAUUUACACACAAUGGAUAGUGCUAGAACCUGAUAAAUUCCAAACUCAUUUCUACAUUUAAGCUAGCAUGAAUUGCAAAACUAAUCUACACUACUAGAGAUAAAAUAAACGAGUAAGACAUAAUAGUUCAAUAGUACAUAGUUAAUUACAAUGUGAAGAUUUAGCUACUUAAAUAAAAUCAACUGAAACUGUACUUGAGUAAAUAAUGGAACAUAAACAUCAGUCAGGGAAACAACAAAAGUAAAGCAUCAUGGUGCCUUAAAUUUAUCUUCAAAUUAGAGUUUACAUCUUGAAGGAUUCAGAACUUGUACCUGGAAUAAUGAGAACAAAUAAAGGAGAUUCAGCAACUGAAAGUAACAACAGCAAGAAACAGAGCUAGAAGUCAAUUCAAGAACCAAGAAAUGAUGUUCAGACCCCAAGAUGACUCUCAGUCGAAAAACAUGAUCAAAUUGACUUCAACACUGAUCUCAAAACCAAGUUCAACUCAUUUUUAGAAUCCCAAAUGAUGCAAAAGUGUUUCAGUAGAAAAGAAACUCAGAAAUCAAAGGAGAUGCAAAAGAAGGAAAACUUCAAUGGAAUAGUGAACAAACUUUAGCCAUUUCUCUUUCUGGAUUUUUCUCUUUUUUUUUUUUUAAUUCUGACGUAUUUUCAGCUACUAAAUUUUGUAAGCUCUCCAAUUUUUUUUCAAAGAAAAAUCUGAUCUCUCCCCAAAACCUUUUUUUUUGCAAGGAAAGAGCUGCAUGCCUUUAUAAGCAAGCAAUUAGGGAAAAUUUCAGACUUUAUUUUACCCUUUUGGUCCCUUUUCAAUUCAUGAAUUUUGCUUAAAAGUCCUUUAAUAUGACUCAAGUUAAUAACUUUUGCAGCUUCCAGGAAGCUUCCUUAAGUGGUUAUUUGAGAAAUGCUCCCAGUUAACCACCCAAGUUACCCCUGAUCAACCCAAUAUUUACCCAUACCCCUUUCCUUGAGACCCUUUCUGGUUAUCAGAUGAAAAAUUAAACUCUAAACCUUUUGAAAUAUAACAAACAAGGUUAAUCAAACAACUAGGGGUUCAAAUGGAUCAAACUAUGAACAAUUUAAAAAAAAGAAGAAAAAAGCAGAAGAUCGACUGGAAAACAAAUUGGGACAUGACUCAAACACACAAUACUCACACCAACUUUAACAUUAAACUCCAUUAUAAGACUCAUCAUAAUUAAACUAAACAUUGAUUAAGACCAGUCUAAAACUUAAACUAAAUGUCAUGCAAUGUUCAAACUCAUAAAUUAGAGAGAUUAAAAUACCAAACAAGAAAGAUAAGAUUUGUACCACUCGAUUAAUACAAGCUAAACUUAAUUUAAACUCGGGAACAUGAAGUCUAACCAACAGAAAAUGGAUGAGGAUGAAGGAAAAUCAAAAAAGAAAAGAUAGAGAACUUAGCUAAUUUGAAUUGGACCCCGGACUGAGUAAGACCUUCAUGCAUCAGAUUCAAAAUUCUGGAAACCCUAGAUUCAAUUCCGAGUAGUUGGAGGUAUUCGAGGGAAGAUAAGUGGGAAUUUGGGAUGAGGGGGUCGAGAAGGUCAUAGGGUAUGAUUUUGGGGCGAUUAGGUGGUUGUGGGGUUUUUCCGCCUCUCUUUGAAUCAAUAUUCGAGGGGAUUGGCUGGGAUUCGAAGGAAGGUAAUAGUGGAUUUAUGAUGAGGAUAUCGAUGAGAGCUUGUGGUGUUAAUUUGGUAGCGAUUGGCCACCGGCAGAGACGAUUUUCGGUAAGCGGCGGACGACGGAGAUGGUGGGGUUGUCUCUAGGGUUUAAAGAGAACAAGGAGACAAUGAGUAACUG